GCGAAAGUAUAGUUAUUAUUUUUAAAAUGACGAUUAAAAUAUCAGAAAGGCUUAAUUGAAGUAUAUUUUCAUUAACUAUAGAGUAAACGCUCAUUUUUUCGAAAAAUUGUCCAAUUUUGACAAUCCGGAAACAGAAGUUAUGGUAAACAAAUAUGGACGACUCGGUCGGCUGCCAAGACAGACGAAGGCGUUUUACCAAAAAAAAGUACGCCGAUUUAAGUCUCUUCGUCUUAUCGUGAUGCGGAAAUAAUGUGUGCAGUUUGGAUGCAACUGGUUGUCAAAUAUGUUGUACCGGCAUAGGAAGAUUAGUUGAUAGAAGGAAUGUAAACACAUCACGCACUUGUCCUUUUCAUCUGGCGAUCUGCUCUGGGAGACGAUUUGAAUGGAUCGUUCAUUUUUAUGUUUUAAAGUUCUGUAUUCAUAUGUUAAGUGUAUAUCUGGAUGGAAUUGAACCGACUUCCUUAUGGUUCCUAUUACAUGGAGAACCUAGUAAACCAAAGGCCAAGCUGAUGCCAAGCUUCAGUGUAAAACUUUGAGCAGGUGCCAGGUAAUUUGCAUUUACAAAUCCAAACAUUUUAAAACUUGAGUUGGACAACAUUGUCAUGUUAAUUAUGCCCCACUACACCAGCUUGUCUGGCAAAACAGCCGUUAGAUGUCAUAGUAAUCUUAAACUAGAUACAUGUAUGAAAAAAAUGAUUAUUUAAAAAAUAAUCCAGGUCGGUCAGUUUAUAUGUUUGUAAUAAUUUAGGAACAAACACCCAAGUCAAGGCAAAAAACAAAUACAAACAUAUUGAUAACAAUUGCAAGAAAGCAUUAAACAAAAGUGCAGUAGAACUAAAUAGGAAACAUGCAUGCUAUCAGACAAUUGAGGGAUUCAAGCCAAGGCUACCCUUCAACAUGUUCAAAAGUUGAAUUGCCAUGGUACACAUACAAUGUACAUGUAUGAUCAUCAUGUAGCAUGAACCAUCAAUGGCUGUUAAACUUGUCACAUUGACACAGACACUGCCACAACACUAAUUAAUUGAUACAUGUAUAUACAUGCAUGACUAUAGUAUAAUAUAUUUGAUAAUAUCCAUCUAAAAAUCAUCUGAUAAUUUAAUCAGUAUUUGAUUAAAAGUCAAAUGCUCAUGUACAUGAUGUACAAUGUAGGAUACAAAGAAACAUAAAUGAAGAGCAAACAAACAAUUGACCGUUCAUACAUGUAUAUAUCUGGGAGUUUUUUCUGUUUAAUUUCUAUGAAUGUAAGAAGAAGUUGAGUAAAUUUUCAGCGUUGUAAGGUCACAAGUUGUAAAGCUUUUCAAUAUUUGAAUUCUUUGAUUAUUUAUUCUUUUUAUUACAUCAUGUACAUGUACAUGUACAUUGGCAAAUAGCAUUUUUACAACAAAUAUUAUUCUAUUAUAAAAUGUAUGUGUUUUUUAAUAUAUAUGUCCAGUUUUCACUUUAUUAUAUUUGGUAAGAAAAUUUGUUAUAUACAAACUAACAAACAUCAUUUGUACAUACAUACAUGUACAACUCUGAUUGUACAACAAAUUUUGUCCCAAGUUGCUUAUCAGUUCGGUCCAACUUCUAUCAAAAUGAAGAACAUUUUUUGUAACACUAUUUAUAUUUCAUUUUUUAGAGAAACCAUCCUUGUUAAAGAUGUGACAUUAAUCCCUCCAAACCUACAAAACACAAUUGAUAAGGUAAGUUGCAGAUUAUCUGAGAUAUUUUUGAUUAUCAUCCCAAGAAAUGUAGCAUACAUGUAUUACUCUUCUUUCAUUUAUAUGAUCAUGAAGAUACAUGUACAAUGUACCUUGCAAUUUGUACAGUUGUAUAUGUAUUUCUGCCAUCUGUCACUGUUAAUUUAAAUGUACAUUAGGGGUCAGUAAAUAAUCAAAACAUGAAACAUGUAUAAAGACUAAUGGUGUGUAUUUUCAUUAAACUAAUACACAGGUUUUUUUUUGUGUUCAGAUUGAUAGCAAUUUUGUUGUCAAUUGUUGUAGUGUCAUUGAUAAAUGAAUGAAAUAAAUGGUUGUACCUAAAAUUAUUUGAAACAUGUCUGAACUUAACUUAUAUAUAGAUACAAUUUACAUUGUAUAUAACCAAUUUUUAUUUACAUUUGUAUAUCUAUAUGUACAUGUACAUGAUCAAUGUAUCAAUGAUGACAAGGAACUUUUUAUUUAAAUUUCAGAGAUGCUAAUUAACCUUGUUAAUGACUGUGGAGAACUUAUGCUACAUUUACCUAAUACACAGACAAACACAGAUGGGCAUAGGUAAUAAAUAGAGCAGUUUUCUAAGAUACAUGUUCAUGUUUAUUAUUAUAUCAUGUAUAUUAUGCCGUGUCUUUAAAAAAGAUAGAUAUGAAACAUGAACACAUAUGUACAUGUUCCAUGUUUACAUGUAUUAGAGAGUUAUCUAACCUGUUUAAAAGCUGAUAACUACUAGUACUAUCAAAUUUAGUCUAUUUGUUUCUCUAUUUGUCCAAUCUAAAUAGAGUUUGAAAAAAUUAAAGUUGGAUAAAUAUUCAUAAUGCUUGCAUUGGUACAAAGCCAUUUUGAAAAUAAGAAGAUGUGGUAUAUAAUGGUCCGUGUAUAUCUGCGUCCAUUCGUUUUUCGUUUUGAAAUAUCAAAAACAAAAAACAAAAAACGAAAGUGUUUUCAUUUUUCGUUUUUGAUUUCAUAAAACACAAAAUGAAAAACGAAAGUGUUUUCAUUUUUCGUUUUUGAUUUCUUAAAAACCAAAAUGAAAAACAAAAGUGUUUUCGUUUUUCGUUUUUGAUUUCACAAACAAAAAACGAAAAACAAAAGUAUUUUCAUUUUUCAAUUUUGAUUUCUCAAAAACUAAAAUCGAAAAAUGAAAGUGUAUUUAUGUUAUCUUUCCAACACAGUUUAAUUGUCAUUCAAAAAAUGACAAUGUUGUCAUUUGUCAUUCAUUUAAAGGUGCUUAAAGUAUACAUGCACCACGGUUGUCAGAUCAAUACUACUUUAAUCGAAGAUAAUGUCGACGGAUGCAAAAGUCUUUAUCAAUCUAAACAAUAAGGGUGCAGGAUCUUUACUUUUAAGUUUGGAGAGGUUAAUCUAAGAUGAUAAUAUUGUAGCGUAACUAGCCUCUUUUACAAAUAAAGCAAACUAUAUAUUGUUGGCGAGGGAAGGGCUCAAGGACUCCAGAAGAACUGGAAAAAAUGAUACAAAAUCUUUCACACCCUUUCUUAAUCUAAAGCGCAAGUUUUAAUUUAUCUAUUUUAUUAUGUUCUGGUCUCGGAGCAAAAUAUAUAGAUACAGUGUAAGACUUUUAGUAUUUACAUGUAUGAACAAUAUCAAAAGACAUAUGUAGGAUGAUGAAAAAAAUAAUGUAAUCCACAAAGUCAAGUGUGUGGCUAUUGUUAGUUUAAACAUAUUUAUUAAUAGUGGAUUGGAAAUUUUCUCACCGGAACGGUGAUCGAACCAGGAACUUAUGUUUUUGUAUAGUCCGAUGCACUAACCUAUGUUACUUUUGUAUAAUGAGGAUCAAUGGUCUAGUUCCUCGUUGAAGACCCUCCAGCUCCUUUCAAGAUGAAGAACAGGCAUAAAAGCCCUGUUCAUUAAUAAUUUGUAUUUUUUCUAUAUAUUGUGUGCGAUUUUGUCCCGUGUACAUUUACUCCACAUCUCUUUAUUUUCUAUUUCGGACCUGGACACGGCUCAAUGCUAGUUUAGCACUCCAAUGUUAAAGGUCAUAUAUGUUUUUUUUUAAAUUAUUUGAUGCCGUGGGAUUGGGAUUUUUAGCUUUAAUGUAAACCAUGUCAGGUUUUUAACUUGUAUUUACAGCAAAGAUAGCCAGUUUUGUGUUCUGUAAUAUACUGUAACAGUUUAAUUUUACUUGUCCGGUCGCAUCGGAACUUCUCAAAACAUCUUCCGAACAAUAUCUGGACGUCGGUUUCGUGGGCAUGUACAAUUGCUAAACCACACAUGAACGUUCUUUAGUCUUCGUAGAUCUAUUCCAACUUGAAGUCUUUUUGAGUCUACGACAAGCAGAAUAUGAUAUUUUAUACCAUUAAAUAUUGAAGCCAUAGUCAUGAAGAUCGAUUACUUGAUUGAUGUUCCGUUAACGUAGCCGCAGAACAAAAACGCGAGAGCUACUUUUGAAUAUUUCUACAAUUUUAAGUAGUUUUCCACUCACAAACACAAUAAUAUUUUCAACAUUUAUUAAAAUAUUUUUUUUUUACACUUUUUAACUUUUAUGUUGUUUUUAAAAUAUCAAUUUGACUUGAAUUUGGGAUCCCGCUAACAUGUUUAACCCCGCCACAUUCAAAAUGUAUGUGCCUGUCCCAAGUCAGGAGCCUGUAAUUCAGUGGUUGUCGUUUGUUUAUGUGUUACAUUUUUGUUUUUCGUUCAAUUUUUGUGCAUAAAUAAGUUAGUUUUCUUGUUUGAAUUGUUUUACAUUGUCAUUUCGGGGCCUUUUAUAUCUGACUAUGCGGUAUGGGCUUUGCUCAUUGUUGAAGGCCGUACGAUGACCUAUAGUUGAUAAUUUCUGUGUUAUGUUGGUCUCUUGUGGAGAGUUGUCUCAUUGACAAUCAUACCACAUCUUCUUUUUUAUAUUUAUAUGAGUAUAUUAAAUAAACAUGUAUAUACCAAGCUAAGUCAGUUUAUAUCUUGUUUUUCGUCUGACUAUACAAAAGGCGAGGAGAGCUACUUGAUAGAUCAGGUUGACUGAUAAGCUGUCUAUAUAAAGUAAUGGGACAAUGCAUGGCAUGAAGACAUCACCAAAUCACCGUAUGCAAUACUCAAAAAGACAUCCAGAGCUUACCAUAUAGUCAUCAACUACCCACCAACAGGCCGUGAGCUUUGGUUGGCUCUUAACUCAAAUCCAAGAGCACAGCAAAAUGUCAAAAUAUUCUAUUCAAACUGGGUGACCUGGGAGAAAAACAUUGAAAUUUUCCAAAGAAACACACACACCCCUCAACUUUUAAUAAGGAGAUUUGGUAUUAAUGCAAAUGAGUCAACUAUCCAACAAAGUUCAAAUGUAGUGGAUGUAAGCAAUUAUAUAUAGGCAACCAUAUAAUCUUCAACAAUGAGAAAAAAACAUACGGUAUUGUCGGCUACAAUAGUCCAUGAAUUGAAAAAUAUGAAACAGUUCAAUUGAGAAAAAUAACAGCCUAUUUUAAAACAACAUGAAUUACGAAAAACACAUAUAAAAGACAUCAACAAACGAAAACCAUUGAACUACAUGCUCCUGAGUUGGAGCAGGCACAUGCAAUAUAUUGUGGCGUUUAACAUGCUUGUAAACAGCCGGGACAGUUUUGUUACAGCACAGCAUAAGAACAAACUAUACAAAUCAGUGGAAAAGGGCUUAACGUAUGAGAUCGAUACAAAACAGAAGGAAAAAAAAGGUCUAACAAAAAACACAUACCGAAUGUGGCAGGGUAUUUUUACCUCGUUUUCAAACAAUCAAAGUACUGAAGUACUGAACAUCGAAUGACUGCAAGUUCUUUUGGAUUGUCACAAGCACUUGUCUCAGAAAAAAAAUCACAUCUCUAUACUUGAAAGUGAAGUUAAUGUACAGAUAUAUUUUUUUUGAAACUCAGUACACAUAUUCUAUAUCAUAUGAUCUUUUUAAUUUCAAUGCCAAAUAUAGAGUUCUGACCCUCAAUUCCACGGUCCACUAGACAUGGAAAAUGAUAGUGCGAGUGGGGCAUUUAUGUGGUAUGGACACAUUCUUAUUCAAAUCCUUUAUUAAAGCUACAGAUAACACUACAUUUGUAAAUUAGACGAACUAAUCUAAUCAAAAUGUAUAUCUCUAAUUUCGUAAUAUAUAUAUUAAUUUUAAUAAGAUUGUUGAACGAACGCGUUCAAUCUUAGGAUUUUAUUCUUGUCAAUUUUUCCGACCGAGCAGAGCGAGUCGAAAACAAUUAAAUAGACGUCUUUCAAGCCAAAGUUAAUAUGUUUGCUAUACACACAUAUAUAUGAUUUUAUUAAACUUGGUUAUCAAUUGUUAAUCAAAAAUACAGUCCUAGAUAAUAAAAAAUCAUGAAAUAUUUGGUCUAGUAAUAAAAAAAUCACACAAAAAACAGUAGUUGUCGUUUGUUGAUGUCGUUCUCGCUUCUCGUUUUUUAGCUCACCUGGCCCGAAGUGUCAAGUGAGCUUUUCUUAUAUCUUGGCGUCCGUCGUCCGUCGUCGUAACUUUUACAAAAAUCUUCUCCUCUGAAACUACUGAGCCAAAUUCAACCAAACUUAGCCACCAUCAUCAUUGGGAUAUCUAGUAUAACAAAUGUGUCCGGUGACCUUGCCAACUAACCAAGAUGGUCGCCAUGGAUAAAAAUAGAACAUAGGAGUAAAAUGAAGAUUUUGGCUUAUAUCUCAGAAAUCAAAGCAUUAAGAGCAAAUCUGACAUGGGUAAAAUUGUUUAUUAGGUCAUUAUCUAUCUGCCCUGAAAUUUUCAGAUGAAUCAGACAACCUGUUGUUAUGUUGCUGCCCCUGAAUUGGUAAUUUUAAGAAAAUUUUGCAGCUUUUGGUUAUUUUCUUGAAUAUUAUUAUAGAUAGAGAUAAACUGUAAACAUCAAUAAUGUACAGCAAAGUAAGACCUACAAAUAAGUCAACAUGACGAAAAUGGUCAAUUGACCCCUUAAGGAGUAAUUGCCCUUUAUAGUCAAUUUUUAACAAUUUUCAUAAAUUUGUACAUUUUUACAAAAUAUUUUCCACUGAAACUACUAGGCUAAGUUCAUUAUAGAUAGAGAUAAUUGUAAGCAUCAACAAUGUUUUGUAGAGUAAGAUCUACGAACACAUCACCAUCACCAAAAACACAUAGACCAAGGUGAGCGACACAGGCUCUUCAGAGCCUCUAGUUAUAUAUAGAGUUUAGACCUUUGGUUUUCCCGUUUGAAUGGUUUUACACUAGUCAUUUUGGAGGAUCCUUAUAACUUGCUAUUCGGUGUGAGCCAAGGAUUCGUGUUGAAGAGGGUACUUUAACCUAUAAUAGUUUCCUUCUACACACUGUGACUUGGAUGGAGAGUUGUCUCAUUGGCACUCAUACCAUGCACAUAUCUUCUUAUAUCUAUAUAUUCUUUCGAUAUUUUUGAUUGGGGUCUGGAGCUGGCAUGUCAGUUACUGCUAGUAGUUCUUUGUUAAUUUAUGAAUCAUAUUCGUUUUGUGUAGUUUCUUUUGUUUACUAUUUUGUCAUCGGACUCGGAUUUCUUUUAAACUGAGUUUCUCUGUGCAUAUUGUUGUGUGUUUGUUUAUUCUACAUGAGCUAGAUAUAAUUGUAUAGCGGGAGGGUUGAGAUUAACAAAGCAUGUUUAGCCCCGCCGUAUUUUUGCGCCUGUCCCAAGACAGUAGACUCUGAUCUUUGUUAGUUUUUUUAUGUUUUUUUUUGUCUAAGUUAAGUGUGACGUCCAUUUUCACAUUACUAGUAUAUAUUUUUAUUUAGAGACCAGCUGAAGCCCGGAUUUUCUCGUUGUGUUGAAGACUCAUUGGUGGCCUUCGGCUGUGCUCUUUGGUUAGGCUGACUGUUGUUUCUUUGACACAUUUUUAGCGGGAGAGAUUUAGCAGCAUGUUUAGCCCCAUGGCUUAGAACAUUAAAAUGCAGUUUUUGGCUUAUUGCAUUUGUCCAAUUGUUUAUCAGUCAAGAUCUAUUGAUUUUCAGAUGAAUAGUUACUCUGUAAUUUUGAUUUUCUAUUAUUUUGAAUAUUUUUUAGAGAUUUUUUUUUUUUAAGUUGACUAUUCAGUUGACCCCUUUAGGAGUUAUUGUUAAGUGUGACGCCAUUUUACAUUUAUCUAGUUUAUUAUUAUUUAUUUAUAUUUUUUAGACAGCUGAAGACCAGGAUUUUCUCGUUUCUGUUGGAAGAUUUUCUCUUGGAUUGUGUGUUUGGUGCAUGCUCAUUGAUUGCUUUUUGCUUCUUUGUUUUUUGCUGUUACUGCUCUUUUUUUUGACUGUUGUUUCUUUGACACAUUUUUUAUUUCCAUUCUCAAUUUUAUUGAUUGAUCAAUUGAUUGAUUGAUUGAUUCAUUGAUUCAUUGAUCAUUUUACUACAAGCAAAAGUCAUGAUCAUUUGAGAAUCCUUUAUUUGUAUUGUAGUGUUAAUUUCACCAAUGAAACUCGACAUUAAAUGUUUGUCUUCAAUGUCUCAAACCUUUUUUUAAUGUGAGUAACUUCAUUGUUCACUUAGAUUUCGAUUUUGAUAUUGUUUUUUGCAAGUUUCCAUAAUAGAUUUCCGGUAAUUGUUCUGCAUAAAACCCUAUGGGAAAGCACAUUAACUAAAUUUUCCAAACGUUUAUUGGAACCUAAUGAUUUGGCAAGGUGUUGCAACCUGUAAUGUAAAAAAGUUACAGCCGAUUGCACUGAGUGUGUAGGCAAAGGUAGCCUAUCCUUGGUUAGCUUGCUUGUAUUAUUAGGUUAGGUAAACUACCCUCCUUUAAGAGUAGACUAGUUCGACAAAUAACCAAUCAAUCUGUCUGUAGGACUAGGCUCCUUCUACAGGAGGGUGGUAUACCUUACCUAGUUACUUCAUAGUUCAGCUAACAAACAAGCGAUCCAAAGAUAUUACCUUUGUCUACACACUCAAUGUAAUCGGCUGUAAUGAAAAUGCGGAGUUUGUGAGACCAGGCUCAAGCAACCAGUCGGUAGCAGUCAGUUUUCAAAUAUAUAAAAACAAAUAUUGCAUAAGACUCAAACGUACUUAAAAUGUUUUUAUUAAUAUAUAACCACUAUAUCAUCAGUUUUUAAAAUAUAAUUAAGCAGUCAAAGACACUUUUCAAUGAAUUUUAAAAUUUCAUUUCUGGUUUAUUUAAGAAUUGAAUGCUUUUUUUUUGUUACUUCAUUGAGGUGUAAAGCGAUGACCGAAAUACAUUUUGUAUGAAAAGCGGAAGCGCUUCAUUCUGAAAAUGUACGCACGGUCAACGCUUUUACAACCCUAUGAAGUUACAAAAAGAAGCAUUCAAUAUUUAUAAUUACAUGUUUUAGCUAGGAUCAUGAAAACACGAUUUUUAUCAAGUUUUUAUUAAAUUCACCUUUGCACUUUAUUGUGGGACCUCGUGUCAUCAUGAAUAAUGAUUUUCGUUGUGUAAUGUAACAUGAGAUGUGCAGUUAGCCAAUCAGAAUAACGAAUUAUAAUGAAACAUACAUCUUAUGUUAUUAUUAGUUAUAUAAAGCCAAAAUCAAUCGCUUUCGAUAUAUUACACAGCGUACUGCCCGCUUUACAUUUUAAAUAGUCAACACUUGGAGUGUUUAUAGAAUCGUAAAUAAUUAUGAUUUUUUUUAAUGAUGGCAAAAUUGCACUAUUGGGUGAAAUAGCUUUCCUUAUUAUCGGCAUCCUGUCAAAUAGUUCAUGAAAAGUAAUAAUAAUUCUGCAUUAAAAGAAAAGAAAGUUGCACUCGUGCUUUAACUUUUUUUUGCCACACACAAAACUGUUUUUACAAAACAUUCUACCUCUGAACUAGUGGAUUUCGCUUAAAUAUGACUGGACAAAAGGUUUAUUUUUUGUAUUCAAAGUAUGGUGGGCAAGUAAAUUAUUUAUUAGCUUAAAAAAGAUUGAUCCGUGCUAUAAAUUAACUUGUAAUUUUGAUCAAGUAGGCCCUAGAUCUCUAGCUUACGUUCUCACCUAGAGCAGAUAAAAGUAUUGCCGCAGAAUUUUUUUAUUAACUGUCUGGUAAGGGUUUUUGUAGGGUAUACGACCUCAACUUUAGACCUACUUUAGAAGAAAAAAACUAAGCAGAACAACACCCUGGAUUUUUCUACUGUAGACCCCAGCUACCCAGCUUCCCUUUGCACCUAGUGAGGACAAUUUUUAUUACAUUUUCGGUAAGGAUGGGGUUCGGUGUUCGACCCCAACUUUGGACCUAUCUUUGAAAAAAAAAUAAGCUAAACAGCAACCUUGAUUUUUUUCUCCAGCAGACAUCAGCUACCAAGCUCCCCUUUACACAUUGUUCGGACAGAAGUAUUUCCGUAGACAUUUGUUUAUUAACUUUUAUGUAAUGAUGGGGUAGGGUGGGUAACUGCGGUCCACUUGAAAAAAAUUUACAGGGACUCCAAUGUGGUGUGGUCUAUGCAGAACAAUUACCGGAAAUCUAUGGUAGUUUGCAAAAUAAUAGUCUUUUUUUAUAAUGUGAUAUGUAAAAUGUUGGUAAAUAAUGAAAGCAUGCUUCUGAAUUAAUAGACAUAGAAAUAAAGAGAAACCAUAUGAUAACCAAUAGCAAUCUCCCAGAGACAAACUAACGUUCAUUAAGGCAACUAGUAUGAUGGUCUGGAUUCGGGGUUCUUAAUUUCUGUAUUCUUUGAUAUUUUAUGCCAUAUUUCUCUAUUCUUUAUACUUUUUUGACAAUUAUUCUCUUAUCAUUACAUUUUAACACCAUUAUUCUAGCUAUUUUAUUUAUUUCUUGGUCCAUUGUCUCUAUUAUUUAUAUUUUUUGUCCACUAUUCUCAAUUCCAUAAUCCCCCAUCAACGACCUCUAGUUAAUGUCACCUUAUAGUCUUCACAAAUAAGCAAAAUUAAUACCUUAUAGGCUCCUAAUGACAAACCAAUUUAAUAUCCCAGUUUGAAUUGUGAAAUUGCGGAAAUUUUGAAAAUUAAAUCAAGCAAAAUACAUUAUCGUCCUCGUAGUAGAUCGUAAAAUACUGGCAGAUGGAUCUUGGUCAUCAAUUCUAAUAAUCUUGGAUCGACCUUUCUAAACUUAAAAGUAAUAAAGUUCACGCAUCCAUAUUGUUCCGAUUGCUAAAGACUUUUGCAUCCGUCGACAUUAUCUUCGAUUAAAGUAGUAUUGAUCUGACAACCGCUGUGCAUGUAUACUUUAACGACCUUUAAAUGAAUGACAAAUGACAACAUUGUCAUUUUUUGAAUGACAAUUAAACUGUGUUGGAAAGAUAACAUAAAUACACUUUCGCUUUUCGUUUUUUGUUUUUGUGAAAUCAAAAAUGAAAAAUGAAAACACUUUCAUUUUUCGAUUUUAGUUUUUGAGAAAUCAAAAUUGAAAAAAUGAAAAUACUUUUGUUUUUCGUUUUUUGUUUGUGAAAUCAAAAACGAAAAACGAAAACACUUUUGUUUUUUCAUUUUAAUUUUUAAGAAAUCAAAAACAAAAAAGGAAAACACUUUCGUUUUUCGUUUUGGUUUUUAAGAAAUCAAAAACGAAAAAUGAAAACACUUUCGUUUUUCAUUUUGGUUUUUAUGAAAUCAAAAACGAAAAAUGAAAACACUUUCGUUUUUUGUUUUUUGUUUUUGAUAUUUCAAAACGAAAAACGAAUGGACGCAGAUAUACACGGAACCAAUAUGAAAACUCUCCCCAAUACAUGUACUUCACAUGACAUAUUAAGGAACCACUUUAAGUCACCAUACAACCUUACACAAUAAGACAAACCCAUACUACAUAAUCAGCUAUAAAUUUAAACAAUUCAAAGGAGAAGACUAAAUACAACUACUGAAUUAUUGGUUAUACAGCAUGACAAUACAACUACUGAAUUACUGGUUCCUGACUUGGGACAGGCACAUACAGAAUGUGGCAGGGAUAAACUAGAUUGAACUUUAUUAAAAAAUUACCCAUUAUCAAACUUAAAAUGCCUAUUACUAAGUUAACUCAGAUUACUCUGCUGUUUACAUAUUUGUUAAACUAUAAUUUGCUUCUUGUAGAAAUUAGCCAGUGAGAUCAAGAUGCAGAUAUAUCCACCAGAUACCAAAUGCCACACCAAAGCAGACAUUUUCAAAUGUUGAGAGACCUAUGAAUACAUCUACAUCCAUCUUUGGACUUUGAAACAACUGAUUGAGUAUGUUGGCAAACAUUUUAUCAAUUAUGUUUGAUCAGUGCUACACAACAGCCUGGGUGGAUUUUGCUUUUUCCACCGGCCCACUCCAGCUAGAAUCUCUUUUUUGUUAAAAUAUUGAUAUCUAAUGCUUAUCUGCUUUUUUUCAAUUGAUUGUACUUGCAAGUCUUUUGAUUAAACAAAAGAAAUUGCAAGCCCACUCCUAUGGGUGGGCAGAGUUGACAAGCUAGAAAGUUUGCCCACUCCCACUGUGGACGGGUGGACAAAGCAAAAUCCACCUGAGCUGUAGUGUAUAUUUGAAAGUCAAUGACUUCUAUUAAAAAAAAGAAAAAAGAAAUCUAGAACUUAACAAUCUUUUUUUUAAUACCCCUAUUUAUAUACAAAAGAAGAUGUCAUAUGAUUGCCAAAGAUACAACUCUCCACAAGAAACCUAGUGACACAGAAAUUAACAGCUACAGGUCAUUGUAAGGCCUUCAACAAUGAGCAAAGCCCAUACCGCAUAUUCAGCUAUAAAAGGCACUGAAAUGACAAAUGAAAUAUUAUGCAUGGUGGGGGUGAAAUAAAAAGUGUCUUCUGACCCCUGAUUCCCUUACAUUUAUUUCUGGAACAUCCCUCAGUGUUGCAACACAUAAACACAUUUGGUAGUCAGAUUGCUUUCAACCAUAUACUAUAGUGAUAGUUUUCUUCUUCAGAAUGCUAAAUUUAAAAGUUUUAAUUAAUUUGUGAUGAAUUUUCUUUUUUACUUCCAGUUAGGCAAGAUGUUAUCUCUCAUAUCAAAGAGAUAGAAUAUGAAACUGGCAGCCAGUAUUGAUAUAAUGUGGUACUAAAAGCUCCAAUACCAUCAGGGGCUGAAGACAUAACAGGAAUUGUGUGGGAUUUGACCAACCUUAGACUAAAGAGAAAAGUUGUUGCUGCAUUACAGAUAUUUUGAACUCAGCAAUUUUUAUUAAUGUUUUUAAUGUUAAUUCUCUCUCUUAUGAAUAAUUUGAUAUCUAUACUUGCAAUGAGCAUGAAUUGAAAGUUCCUCAUGUCUGUAAAACUGUUUUCCCUUGACAUUGACCACAUUUCAUGGAUCGGUGAAAAAGUUAUGUACCCAUGGUCAAGUCCAUGUAUCAGAUUCAAAAAGCAAUAGGUCUGCUUAAUUUGGUAUACUGUAUGAUUGAUCCUGAUCUCAUUGUCAUGCUUUAUUGGUCAAUGUUAAUAUUCAAAAGAUUUAAUAUUGAUUGUACAUUGUAUAUAUAUAGAUAUGAUAAUAUUUAUUUGUAUCCUUUGAACCA
rnacentral:lncRNA from 1 species